GAUGAACGCUGGCGGCGUGCCUAAUACAUGCAAGUCGAGCGAACAGACGAGGAGCUUGCUCCUCUGACGUUAGCGGCGGACGGGUGAGUAACACGUGGAUAACCUACCUAUAAGACUGGGAUAACUUCGGGAAACCGGAGCUAAUACCGGAUAAUAUAUUGAACCGCAUGGUUCAAUAGUGAAAGACGGUUUUGCUGUCACUUAUAGAUGGAUCCGCGCCGCAUUAGCUAGUUGGUAAGGUAACGGCUUACCAAGGCAACGAUGCGUAGCCGACCUGAGAGGGUGAUCGGCCACACUGGAACUGAGACACGGUCCAGACUCCUACGGGAGGCAGCAGUAGGGAAUCUUCCGCAAUGGGCGAAAGCCUGACGGAGCAACGCCGCGUGAGUGAUGAAGGUCUUCGGAUCGUAAAACUCUGUUAUUAGGGAAGAGCAAAUGUGUAAGUAACUGUGCACGUCUUGACGGUACCUAAUCAGAAAGCCACGGCUAACUACGUG
rnacentral:rRNA from 1 species